UCCCUGUAGAAUGCAUGAAAAAGAUGGUUGCUUUUACCUACAGACCAAGUCGAAUCCGAAGUAAACGAUAUAAAUAUUCCCGAAGAGUACUUUGUGAGAAUAGAGUCUCAGUUUCAGCUUGAACAAACGACCGUGUUAUUCCGGCACUUCAACGAAGAAGACGCUUGCUUUUACCAACAAACCAAGUCGAAUCCGAAGUAAACGAUAUAAAUAUUCCCGAAGAGUACUUUGUGAGAAUAUAGUCUCAGUUUCAGCUUGAACAAACGACCGUGUUAUUUCGGCACUUCAACGGAGAAGACAACGGGGGCUUCAGAACAGGCGCCGAUGGAAGACGCCGGAGUACGUAACCACGGGAGUUGGGGGAGCUGAAUGGACUGGUCUAAACUUACACGCAUCGGGAUUCAUUUUUUCUUUUUAAAAAAUUAACCCCAUUUUACUAGUCUAAUGACGUGGCAGAGUCACGUCGGCGUGUAAGAAAGUGCCUGUGAAAUGGCCGUGGAAGUAUAAACGCAGUCCAUCUAAAUCUAGCGUUAAGAACAAAACAAAUUAUCCGAUCUGAGUCUGAAAUUCUCUUUACCUUCAAGGCUUCAAUGCCUAGAAUCUGAACAUUUGCUACUGAAGAAGCUCUCUCAUUUGUAUUCAUUCUCUGUGGCACUUCGUGGGUUCAACAAUUAUGGCCGAUGUCACGAUGAGCAAUGUGGAGCAGUCUUAUGGUGAAACGAAUGAUGCUCAGAAAAAUGUAUUUGAUUUAGGAGCUUUUGUUGGGGACUUGACUAUCGAGGAGGAUGUGAGCAGUGAUGACAUAUCAUUGGAAGGCCUACAACAAGAGCUAGAAGAAUGUAAAAAUGAUGAUGUAGUUGCAAACAUACUAUCGAAAGGUGCGAAAUUAAGGGAGUAUACAAAGGGAGUCGAGAACAAUUUACGGCAAGUCGAAUUUGAUUCUAUUCAGGAUUAUAUACAAGAAAGCAAUAAUUUAGUGUCUCUUCACGAUCAAAUUCGUGAAUGUGACAGCAUCUUGUCACAGAUGGAAACUCUCCUUGGUGGAUUUCAGGCUGAAAUCGGUUCCAUAAGUUCAGACAUAAAAACCCUCCAGGAGAAGUCUAUGGAUAUGGGUCUGAAGCUUAAGAAUCGUAAGGUAGCUGAAUCAAAAUUGGCAAAAUUUGUUGAAGACAUUAUAGUUCCUCCACGGAUGGUUGACAUAAUUGUUGAUGGAGAGGUCAAUGAUGAAUACAUGAGAACUCUUGAGAUUCUAAGUAAGAAGCUGAAGUUUGUAGAAGUGGAUCCUAUGGUCAAGGCUUCAAAAGCUCUAAAAGAUGUUCAACCUGAGCUAGAAAAACUACGGCAGAAAGCAGUUUCAAAGGUCUUUGACUUCAUUGUUCAGAAGCUUUAUGCAUUGAGAAAGCCCAAAACAAAUAUCCAGAUCCUUCAACAGAGUGUUCUUCUAAAGUACAAGUAUGUUGUUUCCUUUCUCAAAGAACAUGGCAAUGAAGUAUAUACCGAGGUCCGAGGAGCAUACAUUGACACAAUGAACAAGGUCUUAAGUGCACAUUUCCGCGCUUAUAUUCUGGCUCUGGAGAAACUACAGUUGGAUAUAGCAACAUCAAGUGAUUUGAUUGGUGUGGAGGCAAGAAGCACUGGUCUUUUUUUAAGAGGAAGGGAACCCCUAAAGAACCGGUCUGCGAUUUUUGCUUUGGGGGAGAGGAUAAAAAUUUUGAAGGAAAUUGAUGAACCUGCUUUAAUUCCUCAUAUAGCGGAAGCCAGCUCCAGCAAGUAUCCUUAUGAGAUGCUCUUCAGGAGUUUGCACAAGCUGCUUAUGGAUACUGCUACUUCUGAGUAUCAUUUCUGUGAUGAUUUCUUUGUUGAGGAAUCCAUGUUUUAUGAGAUUUUUGCAGGUCCAUUCGCUGUCAUUGAUGAGCAUUUCAAUUCAAUACUUCCAAAUUGUUAUGAUGCUAUUGGCUUAAUGCUAAUGAUUCGGAUAAUACAUCAACACCAGCUCAUUAUGUCACGGCGACGGAUUCCAUGCUUGGAUUUAUAUCUAGACAAGGUCAAUAUAUCCCUAUGGCCCCGUUUCAAGAUGGUAUUUGACAUGCAUCUCAAUAGCCUGCGCAAUGCAAAUGUUAGGACAUUAUGGGAAGAUGAUGUUCACCCUCACUAUGUCAUGAGGCGUUAUGCUGAAUUUACAGCUUCACUAAUCCGCCUCAAUGUUGAAUAUGGAGACGGGCAGCUUGAAUUGAAUUUGGAAAGACUGAGAAUGGCAGUUGAUGACUUGCUUAUCAAGCUUGGAAAAAUUUUCCCGAAAACAAAACUACAAAUUGUGUUUCUGAUUAACAACUACGAUAUGAUAAUUUCUGUUUUGAAGGAAGCUAGUCCAGAUGUUGGGAAAAUUCAAAUGCACUUUGAGGAACUGCUGAAGAGCAACACUGCGUUAUUUGUGGAAGAGCUGCUACUAGAGCAUUUCAGUGAUUUAAUAAAGUUUGUAAAGACCCGAGCCUCGGAGGACCCAAGUUCUGGUUCUGAGAAAGCCAUAGCUGUGGGGGAAGUUGAGCUACUUGCGAAGGACUUUGGAAGUAGAUGGAAAGCUGCAAUAGAGCUGAUGCAUAAAGAUGUCAUAACUUCUUUCAGCAACUUACUGUGUGGCAUGGAGAUUUUGAGGGCUGCGUUGACUCAGCUGCUGCUCUAUUAUACGAGGCUCACGGAUUGCAUAAAGAGGAUUGUUGGUGGGUCCUCGCUGAACAAGGAUCUGGUGUCCAUAUCUUCAAUCAUGUAUGAAAUUAGGAAAUACUCCAGGACCUUCUAAUUCCCCAUUGUUCAGGCUGUACGUGUUUUGAUAAUCCCAUCGAAUUUGGAUGGUCAAUUUUUUAGGAUUAAAAAUAUUUAAAUUUGGGUUAAUAAUAUUUCUUCUGAUCUGCAACAAAUAUUAUAUAAAUGAGAUGAAGGUUCUCUCUCUCGCGCGCGCGCGCGAAAAGGUACGCACACUCGUGCAUGUAAAGCAAACAGAUAUAACUCUGGUCUGGACUCUUAUGUAUUCGGCUAGUGCAAACGAGGCAUUGUGUAAAGGAAAAUUACCGGGCCUUCUGAUUACGUCAAUUGUAUUUUGUCCGUGUGACGACCGCCGAUGUUUGUCAUGUAUUAAUGUAGAACAUCUUGUCAUGUAGCCUUGGGAUGGAUUCGUACGUAGUUUGAUAUUUGUACUGAAAUACACGACAUGCGCGCGCGCGCACACAAAUAACUAUUAAGCAAUAUUUGGGUAUUUCACAUGACCUUUCCACACUAACGUGGAGAUCGGUAGUUGUCAUCGGACCAAAAGUUACUAUAUUAUAUUAGAAAAAUUUUUCUUAUCAGU